AAAGGGUGCUGCCCAGGCCAACUAUUUUAAAGCAGCGGCUAAUACACGAGUAGUUGGUGCUGUGGCUGCUCAACUCAUCAAAGAUCUGAAGUCAGUUGGUGGAAUCAGUUACUCCAAUGUUUAUGUCAUUGGACACAGUCUGGGUUCUCAUAUUGCUGGAUAUAUUGGAGAAAUUAUUCCAGGGUUGGGAAGAAUAACUGGUUUAGAUCCUGCUGGUUUGUCUUUUGAAAACUAUGAUGUCACAGUCCGAUUAGAUAAAUCUGAUGCUGACUAUGUAGAUGUAAUACAUACUGACGGCGAGACACUUCUUCAGUUAGCUUUUGGUAUGUCUAAAGCAAUUGGAGAUGCAGAUUUUUAUCCAAAUGGUGGAAAGAAUCAACCAGGAUGUCCAAGUACUGGAGCAACCAUGUUAGAUCUCCUCACUGGUAAAAUUGGGCAAUUGACGAGUAAUGUUGCUUGUAGCCACAUGAGAGCUAUCGAUCUCUUCACAGAAUCUAUAAAUGGUGGCUGCACAUUUAACUCCUUUCCCUGUAGUUCGGAGUCCAACUUUAAAAACGGCCAAUGUACAAGUUGUGGUAGUGGCUGUGCUGUCAUGGGAUAUCAUUCAACUGUACAAACUAGAGGUUCAUUUUACCUAAC